AGAAACGGUUCAUAGCACUAUUUGUAGUAGGAUAAAACCACCGCCUCAAAGUCUAAUGCCAUUUAGUUCAAAUUGUAGUUCAACUAGGAGUUGUAGUCCUACUCAAUUUCAAAUUCAUGUCCUUUUUCAUUGUCCUAGCCAAAAAGGAAUUGUAAUUGGACUAGGAGAGAGAUUUUAUUCCCACCACAUGACAUCUAUAAAUAGACACAUUGUAUCCAUAAUUCGUCACCCCUUUUACAGCUUGACACGUUUGUCGUAGAAAAUUCAUAUCUCAUCGUAGAAAAAUCGAAAUCAAGAACGGUUUGAUUUUUCAGAAACUAGACUUCUCGAUCUCUAACAUAUCCAAAAUUCGGAAUUUAAUACCUUCAGAAUAUUUCUAGAUGAUUUUUUUUUAAGUUAGCUUUAAAUUCUGUCAUGCUGAAAAUUCCAGAUUUGUGUGGCUUUUACUAAAACUCUUGUGUCUUGAUGUAGGAACG
rnacentral:lncRNA from 1 species